rnacentral:rRNA from 1 species
CCUACGGGUGGCAGCAGUGAGGAAUAUUGGUCAAUGGCCGGGAGGCUGAACCAGCCAAGUCGCGUGAGGGAAGACGGCCCUACGGGUUGUAAACCUCUUUUGUCAGGGAGCAAGGUGCAGGUCGGGACCUGCUGUGAGAGUACCUGAAGAAAAAGCAUCGGCUAACUCCGUGCCAGCAGCCGCGGUAAUACGGAGGAUGCGAGCGUUAUCCGGAUUUAUUGGGGUUAAAGGGUGCGUAGGCGGACGCUUAAGUCAGCGGUAAAAUUGCGGGGCUCAACCUCGUCGAGCCGUUGAAACUGGGUGCCUUGAGUGGGCGAGAAGUACGCGGAAUGCGUGGUGUAGCGGUGAAAUGCAUAGAUAUCACGCAGAACUCCGAUUGCGAAGGCAGCGUACCGGCGCCCAACUGACGCUGAAGCACGAAGGCGUGGGUAUCGAACAGGAUUAGAUACCCGAGUAGUC